rnacentral:rRNA from 1 species
UGGGGAAUCUUGCACAAUGGGCGAAAGCCUGAUGCAGCGACGCCGCGUGCGGGAUGAAGGCCUUCGGGUUGUAAACCGCUUUCAGCAGGGACGAGGCCGCAAGGUGACGGUACCUGCAGAAGAAGCCCCGGCUAACUACGUGCCAGCAGCCGCGGUAAUACGUAGGGGGCAAGCGUUAUCCGGAUUCAUUGGGCGUAAAGCGCGCGUAGGCGGUCUGUUAGGUCAGGAGUUAAAUCUGGGGGCUCAACCCCUAUCCGCUCCUGAUACCGGCAGGCUUGAGUCUGGUAGGGGAAGAUGGAAUUCCAAGUGUAGCGGUGAAAUGCGCAGAUAUUUGGAAGAACCCCGGUGGCGAAGGCGGUCUUCUGGGCCAUGACUGACGCUGAGGCGCGAAAGCUAGGGGAGCGAACAGG